rnacentral:rRNA from 1 species
AACGUAGGAGACAAACGUUAUCCGGAGUUACUGGGCGUAAAGGGCGUGUAGGUGGUUUCGUAAGUCUGGCGUGAAAUUAUCGCGUCUAACCGAGGCAGGUCGUCGGAUACUGCGGAACUGAGGACGGUAGAGGCGUGUGGAAUUCCGGGUGUAGUGGUGAAAUGCGUAGAGAUCCGGAGGAACACCAGUGGCGAAGGCGACACGCUGGGCCGUACCUGACACUGAUGCGCGACAGCAUGGGGAGCAAACAGG